GCUAAGUAUUUCGAACCGAAUAACGGUACCAACCGAGAGUAGUCUCCACGGUGGUGAAAAUGAUACGGGAAUUGAUCCAAAAAUAACGUACACU
rnacentral:ncRNA from 1 species